AAGUCGUAACAAGGUUUCCGUAGGUGAACCUGCGGAAGGAUCAUUAUUGAAUUAUGUUUUCUAGAUGGGUUGUAGCUGGCUCCUAGGAGCAUGUGCACGCCUAUUUGGACUUCAUUUUCAUCCACCUGUGCACCUUUUGUAGUCUUUGUUGGGUAUUGAGGAAGUGGUCAGCCUGUCAGCUUUUGCUGGAUAUGAGGACUUGCAGUGUGAAAGCAUUGCUGCCCUCUACUUGGCCACGGAAUCUUUUUCCUAUCAGAGUUCUAUGUUUUUCAUUAUACCCCAUAGAAUGUUAUUGAAUGUCUUUACAUGGGCUUUCAUGCCUAUGAAAAUUGUAAUACAACUUUCAGCAACGGAUCUCUUGGCUCUC
rnacentral:misc_RNA from 1 species